GAGGAGAGGAGCUGCCGCAGCGCGUCCUCAGUCCAGCCUCGACAAGAGAAGGGGAGCAGCAGCCGCGCUAGCUGGCGCGCACCUCGUCGCCACCUCUCCUCACCUUCUCCCAGGUUCCUGAUCUGGAGUGGGAGGGACGCACGCCGGCGAGGCCAGGCUACCCUUGACACGCAUAUGUAGAAUGUUCUCACUAUCAACUCUGGAAUAACUAGCAAGUAGUGGUGUCAAUGGCAUCCGUGGGAGCCAUUUUGGUGGCACAUGGACAUCACGUUCUGGAAUAAAGCCAUGGAACAAUAAAUAACUUGGCAACGGAUACCCUGUGGUCUACAAUUAUACUGUAAUUAUGUGUGCACUUUGGAUCUAUUGGAUGUCUGAAUGUAUUGUUAAUCGACAACUAGUGAUGCAAAGGAGAUAUGUGUCGAGAGGCACAUGAAUACGCACGUGGGCUGUUUUUCAGCAUGGUAGUCUAAAAAACUGUGGUAUUCUCAGAAAAUGCUUUGCUAUCAAACAGGGCAACUGCAGAUUUCCUUGAAUAUAGUUUAUUUUACAAUUGUGUUGCCAACGUGCUUCCUGUUUUAUCACCAUAAAAUAGUUCUAGGUGCUCAUAUAAAAUUUAGUGGCGUGUAUGGAUGAUUGUAGUGCAGCUUUGUUGAUCUGCUUGCAUUUUCAGCAUUAUAGUGUUGAUAUACUAUCUCAAUAAAACAGUGAAUACGUAUAAUAUGUACAAGCUACGUUCAAGUUAUGGCAGUGUGCCUGGGUAAGACGAACUGGUAAUCUUCUGCUAGCUGAAAAAAACUUGUUUCGUCUUUACAUGUGUUUCUUGUUGAAACUCUUUUUCGUCUUUGCAUGUGUUUCUUGCUGAAGCUCGUGAUUUUCAAGUUAUGGCAGCACAUAUGUCUACCCACUUGCAUGACUUCCGAUAUUGUCCUUAUUUUGCUCCUCCUUAGCCUUGUUCUGUUAGUGCAGUUCUUUUAAAUAGCAGGGACAGAGUCCCAGAAAACAUGCCUGAUUGCUUUUCUUAGUGGUGCACUUGCAAGUAUAUGUGGUCGUUUCUGUUAGUUAUUCAUGCUUUUCUACAAAGUGAUAGGUUAAUAAUGUCAUCAACAAUUUUUUUCCUUAACUGAUCAAUAUCUUAGAAGUUGUCACUCAUUAGUUUUCUUUUCCUUAUCUGAUCUCUAGCGAGUAGAGUGAUUUAUUUUCGCAAUACCUAAUUCUGAUCAUAGGUAAUGAAAGAUUUGUUUUCAUUAAAUGAGAUUCUUGUUUUGUGUUGAUUUUGCAAAAUUUCUGUAACUACAUAUUUGCUCAAUCCAAUAGACA